GAGGGAAUUCCUUUUAUUCUUUGUACACAAACAAAAACCACUAUUUGGACGCGGGAUCCGACUAAAUUCGGGUCGGAUUUAUGGGUAAUAUGGAUCCUAUAAAUCCUAUAAACAAACUUUUUUGACAAACCCUAGAUUGGUAUGUUCUCUCUUCUUCAAUACGCUGGUUCUUCUCAUUCUUCGCCGCCGAUUCAUCAUCCAAAACUGAUCCAUCAUCCAAACCCGAUUGGCUACGCUUAAGCUUAAACCUGGUGGAUUUUUUGUUUUGAAAGACAACCUUGCAAGAUCUGGUACUGGGACAGGUGUAAUCUCCCUAUUUUAUUUUAAUUAUAUUGUAUUUUUAUUAGAUUAUACAGUAAAGUUCAAUGUUUUGUGUUAUACCUUAGUGUUACAUGGUGAUACUUUUACCUAUUGUUUCUAAAUAGUGCACAUAAGACAGUUUGUACGAUUUUGAUGAAUGUUUGAAGUGGAAUAAAAUAAAAGUGGGAGCAAUCUGCUCAUCAAUCCAGGGUUGAUUUGAAAUUCUUUAUAUGUUGGGUGAAUUUAUGUCAAAUAACAAUGAUGGAGCAAAAAGUACGUCUGGUGGGAUGAGCUUGACUUUGGUAGGUCCUAAACAAUUUUGGUGGAGGUCUUGCUGGGAUCUUUUUUAUUUUCUUUAUGUUCUUGAAUGAGCUGUGUGUUUAUGAAUCGAACGUAACAAAACGGAAACUCCAGUUUCUUCUCUUUCUUCUGAAUCGAAUGUUGGUUUAGCUAAUUCAACAGACGAUCAAGUUCAACCACCAACACCUAAUGAAUAUGAUCAUCAACUAGAGCCAUAUGUAUUCAGAUGUUUGUCAUGCUUCAGCAUUUUAAUGCCCACAGGAAAUGGGUUUAAGUUAUUUCGCGGCUUUGGAAAUAAAAACAAUGAAGAAAAAAGUGAACUUUCUCUGAAGGAAGUGCCUUUAAAGAAAAGCUGGUUUUCGAACAUAUUUAAAUUGGAAAAGGUGGAGAAUAAUGUCACUGAUCUUAACGUUUCAGUAGCCGUUCAGAGUUUAGAUAUGAAAAAUAAUGCUGGUGGAGUCUCUUCUCUAUCUUCUAACCUAAAUCCGUCAAAUGCAAGAAGCUAACGCACAUAUCUCCAACGGUACAACAGAUUUGGAAAAAAGUCAACUUUCGUUAGAUAAAGUUUUAAGAGAGAGCAGCGGUCAGUAAAUUUAUUCAGAACAUAUAUUCGGUUCAAAUAAGAACCAAUAAAAAUCUAAUCAACGUGAAAACAAUAUAGUGUAUUAGUGAACACAUUAUUCGAGUGCAGUGACAUUUUCGUAAUUAACGUAAAACCAUGUGUAUUCAGUAUUCACCAGUGAAUACACUAUAUACAAAUGAAUCAAAUUUUGACUUGACGUGUUUUCACGCUACUUACGAAAUUGCCACUGAGUAAUAAAAGCUUCAUGGAACAGAUCUGACGGCCACAUGUGUGUGUGUGUGUGUGUGUCUGUUUUAGUAAACUUAUAUAAAAUCUACUUUGACUAUGUUUUAAGUCAAAUUACAUGACAAUGAUAUUUGACCAUGGUAUGAUUAUGAAGUUUCAGUUCAAGCACCAAAUGCUAUGCAUGAAGUUUCACAACACGUUGUUCAGAACAAUGUUGAAAUUCAUCUUGAAGAGCCUCUGACUGUCAACAAGGAUGUCUUAACAGACGGUCAACAAGUUAAUCUUCUCGAAGAUGUGAACAACAUUGAAUGGAUUAUAUUUGUUUAGCGUCUCUUAUUUCGCUGCAUGAACAGGACACGUUUUCUAACUUUCGCUCUCUAUGUGUUUAUUAGUUGUUCAUUGUUCUCAUGUCAUUGCUUUUGGAUUUUCGGGGAUGAUAACGUAGGUCAUCGCCGGUUUUCAGGUAAACGGGAGUGGAUAGUUUGUUGGCGUUGCUGAAAUGAUGGGGCUUGAUUUCUUAUACAGCCAUGUAACACAAGCCACCACCACAAUCUUGCACCUUAAUUCUCAUUAAGUUCAAUAGGAUGAAGACUCUUGGUUUCAAGUAGAAGGUUAUGUGCUUGCUAAAUUUUGUGCGUUUACCAAUGAAUCAACGUAUCGACUCAAUUUUUAUAGGAUCUGCUUAUGAGAAAAGGCCCGAUUUUUGGUUCCACUUUUGGCUCAAAUGGUUCUACCGCAUCUGCUACUUAUGAUGUUGUGACGAGUAGAGAGUUAUCCAACUCGGUUUGUUUUUAUUCUCCUCUGCGUAAUCAGGACAAACGGCAAGUGAUGACCUGUAUGAGGUUCAACUAACUAUACCAGUGGAAGGUUAUGAGUUGGAUAUACUCAUGUUCUCUUGGUGAUGGUGAACGGGAGUGGAUAGUUUGUUGGCGUUGCUGAAAUGAUGGGGCUUGAUUUCUUAUACAGCCAUGUAACACAAGACACCACCACAAUCUUGCACCUUAAUUCUCAUUAAGGAUUGAAGAUAUCGAUCGCAAGCAUAGAUGUUUGGAGUACUGAAGUACUAAAUCCUACCCGAAUAAUAGAGAUUAGAGAUGCUACUAACUUUUUUAGGCGAGAACAUGAGAUCGGUUCUUAGGGUUUCGCAUCGCAUCAUGGGCAGUCGCAAUACCAAUCCCAAUCGCAAUCGCAAUCGCAAGAAGAAACGUAAGAUGAGCCGUGCGGAAAGAACGUACGAGACAAAGCAUAGGGAAUUUAUUCGCCGGCGGACAGUGGCGGAUCUAGAAAAUCCGCCAAGCCGUAACGUUUUAUAAAAAAGCCGUAACGAAACCGUAAAAACGUCAAUUUUUUUCAAAAUUUACACUAAUUUUACACUACCGCCGGAGCGCCAAGCCGUAGCGGAGGUUGCCCCUUCUUAUAUGCUAGGUCCGCCCCAGCCGGCGGACAAGGUUUACCAGACCAUUCAAAAUCGGGUUUUAUGCUCCUGGGACUGAACCUCGUCGUAUUCCAUAUCAUCUAUACUUGUUGAUUAAGGAAUCAGUCCAUCUUAUGCAGAGAGGUUUAGAUUCAGCCCUAGUUGACAAAAAAAUUAGUUUCUUUUGUGACUUCUUCUAUUCUCAUCUGCCAGUUGGCUGGAAAUAGUAAGUUUUUAUCUAAUGUAGUAGAAUUCAUCAUUCUUGCCAAUGAUCUCUAGAUCAAUCAAGUGGUGGAGGGCUUGCAUUUCUCUUGAAAGAUGCAGGUUCGACUCUCACUUGGUGCAGAGUGAGGCACUGGUGGGCAAUGAUAGGAGACCUAGGGAAACCUGGGUUGGAUCCUUGAGCCAAACGGGUUUUACCGGUAAUUUCACUGUCGUGCCUACGGGCGGGUGGGUUACCGGGUUUUCCCCGGAAUUGGUGGUGGACUCGGGUUACUCUCGGAGUACUCCGGUUGUCCAGUGGGUGCGGUGCCCCGAGAGUGCUCGGGAUUGAGUUUGUUGGCCGUUCAAAAAAAAAAAAAAAAGAAUUCAUCGUUCUUUAUUAUUAGUAUUGUUAUUAUUAUUGUUAUUGUUAUUAUUAAAGUUGGAAUUUUCUGUUAACUCCUCGAUUAAUUAAAAUAAUAUACUUUGGACCAAAGUGUCAACAAUGGCCUAAACUCGGGUACCAUUUUGGCAUUUUACUCUUUAUUCUUGUUGUCAUUCGAUGUUUUGCAGCGACAAGGAGAAUGCAGCAUCCCUUAUUGCGGACUACGACACCUCUCUGCCUAAAUACGAUAUUUCAGGCUAUACCUAUCUCACAUAUCCGUAUGUUAAUGAGUUUGAUGAUGACGCACGACUAUCUAUCAGCAUGGUUUUUGAGCUUAUGAGAACUAUUUACUCACGGAUAACGCCUACUCCAAAGAAAUUUAUGGAAUGGAGUGGGAGUUGGAUGUCAUUCUACUGUAAACUAUGUUCCUGUUUUGGCAUCGAUUAUCUGCAUCUAGAGGCUGCUUCCAAGGACGAUGUGGUUUUGAUGACUCGCAGUAAGUGGGUUGACAAGAUCCCACUAGUGCCAAGACCAUAUUUUAAGUGGGUUGACAAGAUCCCAUCAACCAACAAGUUAAAGCUUAAUAAAUAAAUUGUUAUUAUUUGGUUUGGCUGCAGAAUCCUGUGUUUAAGCACAAGACGAAGCUUAGCAGCAACGAUGAGGCUUUUGUACUCUCGAAGAAAGAGAUUAACAAGAUCUUACGUUUUGUUAUCUGCUCACCGCGGUUACCUCCUCAGACCACGCUUACUCGAUGGAAUGAGUAUCGGAUAUCAUUCUAUUCUAAAAUGUGUUCCUACUUUCGCGUUGAUUAUAAGCGUUUGGCAGCUGCUGAUACUACUUAGUUUUCAGCAAAUUACAACUUCACCAUGCAUGGUUGUUUUCUCUCAUCUGUUAAAAAACCGGAUUUUAUUUAAUAUGUAUUUGUGGUUGUAACGAAAGACUAUAAUUUAAAUGUCGCAUUGCUUUCUAGUUUAAAA